rnacentral:rRNA from 1 species
GACGAACGCUGGCGGCGCGCCUAACACAUGCAAGUCGAGGGAGAACCGACCUGGUCGGGGAGGACGGCGAACGGGUGAGUAACACGUGAGGAACCUGCCCUGUAGACCGGAAUAACCAACGGGAAACUAGUGGCUAAUGCCGGAUGGUCUCGGAUGACCGCAUGGAUGUCCGAGGAAAUGGUCUGCCGCUACAGGAUGGCCUCGCGGCCUAUCAGCUAGUUGGUGAGGUAACGGCNCACCAAGGCGACGACGGGUAGCUGGCGUGAGAGCGCGACCAGCCACACUGGGACUGAGACACGGCCCAGACUCCUACGGGAGGCAGCAGUGGGGAAUCUUGCGCAAUGGG